GCCCUAUUUUUUUUGAAACAAGAUCUCGCUCCGUCACCCAGGCUGGAGUACAAUGGUACAAUCUUGGCUCACUGCAACCUCUGCCUCCCAGGCUCAAGUGAUUCUCCUGUGUCAACCUCCCAAGUAGCUGGGACUGCAGACGCACACCACCACACUCAUUAUAAAAUGGUGGAGUUAUAAAUAUCAUUGAUCAAACACCUUUUUUCAUUUUGAAUUUUUUUCAUACAUUACCAAAAGAAGAAGCUGUAGAUCAAAAGAAUGAACAAUGCUAAUAAGACUUUUGCCUGUAGAGACUUACUGCUCCACAGGAUUCUACUAAGUUACUGGGCCCUGAGAAAAGGACCAGUGUUCUUUUCU
rnacentral:lncRNA from 10 species